rnacentral:rRNA from 1 species
GACGAACGCUGGCGGCGUGCUUAACACAUGCAAGUCGAACGGAAAGGCCCUGCUCUUGUGGGGCGCUCGAGUGGCGAACGGGUGAGUAACACGUGAGUAACCUGCCCUUGACUUUGGGAUAACUUCAGGAAAAUGGGGCUAAUAUCCGAUAGGAGCUCCUGCUGCAUGGUGGGGGUUGGAGAGUUUCGGCGGUUGGGGCUGGACUCGCGGCUUAUCCGCUUGUUGGUCGAGUAGUGGCUUACCAAGGCUUUGACGGGUAGCCGGCCUGGGAGGGUGACCGGCCACAUUGGGACUGAGAUACGGCGCAGACGCCUACGGGAGGCAGCAGUGGGGAAUAUUGCACAAUGGGCGGAAGCGUGAUGCAGCAGCGCCGCGUGCGGGAUGACGGCCUUCGGGGUGUAAACCGCUGUCGCCGGUGACGAAGCGUGAGUGAUGGUAAUGGGUAAAGAAGCACCGGCUAACUACGUG